UUUUAACGGCCGCGGUAUUCUAACCGUGCAAAGGUAGCGUAAUCACUUGUCUUCUAAAUAGAGACCAGUAUGAAUGGCUAAAUGAGGAUGAGCCUGUCUCCUACGGCCUAUCAGUGAAACUGAUCCCCCAGUCCAAAAGCUGGGAUAUUCACAUAAGACGAGAAGACCCUGUGGAGCUUAAAAUUUAAUACUACAAAACAACUAGUAUAACCUUUUGAGUUGGGGCGACUUCGGAACAAAACAAAACUUCCGAGCACAGAACCACUACUUCUCACCAAGGCCCACAAGCCAAAGAAAACCUGACCCAGUCACACUGAUCAACGAACCAAGUUACCCCAGGGAUAACAGCGCCAUCUUCUUCAAGAGUCCCUAUCGACAAGAAGGUUUACGACCUCGAUGUUGGAUCAGGACACCCAAAUGGUGCAGCCGCUAUUAAAGGUUCGUUUGUUCAACGAUUAACAGUCCU
rnacentral:rRNA from 1 species